GCUGCUGUUGCUUGUUUGGCUUUUAAUUAUGGCGCGGUGCGCCGACGCCAACAAUAAAUUUUGAUGUGCAUAAAAGCUACUUAUAAAUAAUACAUAUACACACUCACACACACACACACACACACACACACAUGUAGAGAGAGUGAGAGAGAGAGGGGGGAGUGAGCUAUACACACGCACACGCAGGCAGCGUUGCGGCAGUGAAGAAUUCGUUGACGUCGUCGUUGAGUUUA